UACGGAGGGUGCAAGCGUUGUCCGGAUUUAUUGGGUUUAAAGGGUGCGUAGGCGGCCCGUUAAGUCAGUGGUGAAAGCCUCCAGCUCAACUGGAGAACUGCCAUUGAUACUGGCGGGCUUGAGUACAGACGAGGUAGGCGGAAUUGACGGUGUAGCGGUGAAAUGCUUAGAUAUCGUCAAGAACACCGAUAGUGUAGACAGCUUACUAGGCUACAACUGACGCUGAGGCACGAAAGUGUGGGGAUCAAACAGG
rnacentral:rRNA from 1 species